rnacentral:lncRNA from 1 species
UCAUUUCCACGUAACCCAUCAACCAACCCAAGGCUAAAACUGCUAUGGAGACCGUUUUCAAAUACACCCCCCCAACUAUUUACAUAUGGCAAGGGGAAGACUUUCAUGAUGUCCUUGAUUGUUACUAACCACAGGACAAACAUACAUAAGGGGGGGGGGCAGGAACGUCCUCCGUGUUUCUUUGGGCCCUAACAUCAGAUAACAUAAAGCCGCCUAGAGUGGUCGAAAUGACUAGAUAGGCGGGGUAUAAAUACAAUAAAUAAAUAAAAUAAAUAAAAUAAAUAAAAUAAACAGCAGACUUGUUAUUGGCUGCUGAAGCUCAGCUGUAUCUCGCAUCCCACCUCUUGCUCUUGGCCUCAUGUGCAUUAUUUGCCUUUCAGUCGUUGUCUCUGGCAUGCUGCAGGAUGGGCUUCUCCUGAGUCACUUGAAAGGGAUUGCCUUUUCCGAUGUGGACAUCAGAGGACCCCUCGGUGGCAUCACUGGGUAAGUAGCAAACCACAGACAUUUGUGAAUUGGAAAGGUUCUGCUCUUGCUCUCUUGGAGGACCAAUCUAGUAUUCUCAAAAUGAGACUGCGCAGGUUGCUGGGAGCCAUGUGGCAUUAGAGGGAUGGGCAGGGUAGGACCCUCGGGACCCCUUCAAAGCACAAGUCUUGCAGAGACCGCGGUUGGGAAACAUCUUCAGUCAUGCCUCUUGACUGAAUGAGAAGAGAUAGGGCCAUCUACGGCUCUGCUCCUGUUCUUAUUUAGGCUGCCUCCUCUUUUUCACUGUAUGCUGACCUCUCUUCUCAGGCUUGGAAUUGUGAACCUCCAAGUUACCGGUUACAAACAACCAUUUGUACCAGCCAUAAGAGGUGCUGCUCUCUCUCUGUCCAUCCGUUUGGACAUCACUGGUCACACCCUGCCUGAUCACUCCCAGCUGGUCAGCAUCUCACUGGAAGUGACGAUCCGAAUCAAAUAUGGACUUACAGACUUUGCCAACGGUUACUACAAAGUUUCCUUCCAUAAAUGUGGUGCUAAUUUUGGAGCUAUUGAAAUCGCCCUCUUUGGUAGGUGAGUAUGGGUGCCUUUUUGGUAAAAGGUUUCCUAUGGUUGUCACUUGUUUUUGCAAAUCAGCGAGUUGUCAAGUUCUUCGCAUACAAAAGGAACCUGGGUCGUGUCCAAAGAACCUCAUGGGGCUAAAGGGCCAGUCUCCACCACCAGACCCUGGCUGAGCCACUUGAUAGAGAAGUUA